UAAAACAGCCAUAUCACCCUGCAGCCCAAGACUGGUUACUCACUGAAGCCAAGCAGGGUUAAGCAUGGUCAGCACCAGGAUGGGAGACCACAUGGAAAAUCGAGCUUGCUCUUGGAA
rnacentral:rRNA from 1 species